rnacentral:rRNA from 1 species
ACACGUAUCCAACCUACCUCAUACUCGGGGAUAGCCUUUCGAAAGAAAGAUUAAUAUCCGAUAGCAUAUAUUUCCCGCAUGGGUUUUAUAUUAAAGAAAUUCGGUAUGAGAUGGGGAUGCGUUCCAUUAGUUUGUUGGGGGGGUAACGGCCCACCAAGACUACGAUGGAUAGGGGUUCUGAGAGGAAGGUCCCCCACAUUGGAACUGAGACACGGUCCAAACUCCUACGGGAGGCAGCAGUGAGGAAUAUUGGUCAAUGGACGCGAGUCUGAACCAGCCAAGUAGCGUGAAGGAUGACUGCCCUAUGGGUUGUAAACUUCUUUUAUAUGGGAAUAAAGUGGUCCACGUGUGGACUUUUGUAUGUACCAUAUGAAUAAGGAUCGGCUAACUCCGUGCCAGCAGCCGCGGUAAUACGGAGGAUCCGAGCGUUAUCCGGAUUUAUUGGGUUUAAAGGGAGCGUAGGCGGAUUGUUAAGUCAGUUGUGAAAGUUUGCGGCUCAACCGUAAAAUUGCAGUUGAUACUGGCAGUCUUGAGUGCAGUAGAGGUGGGCGGAAUUCGUGGUGUAGCGGUGAAAUGCUUAGAUAUCACGAAGAACUCCGAUUGCGAAGGCAGCUCACUGGAGUG